UGAAUGAAGGAGUCAGUUCAAGCAGAAUUCUAGGCUUUUUCAAGGGAGAGACGUUUUCACUUAGAGAGCACAGCUGUUGUAUUUCAGUCCAAAAAAAGCAAAACAGACUGAUGAAAUUAUAAGCGGUUAAAAAAACUCCUGAAAACAUGAGAUGAUUGCUGCUACCUAAACUCCCUACGCCUUCUACCAAUGACAACAAAACUAAGGGAUUACACUGGUGGUUUUUAACCUCCUGAGAAGAGAUCAAAGGCACAAACGCUCCGGGAUACCUCUGGAUAUUAGCUGUACGCACAGCACCUGCAAAGGGCAAGGCGAGGCAAGCUCCAACCUCACUGUCACAUGAGCAGCAGCUGUCCUUUGUCGGAGAAGCGUGAUCUGCCGUGUCGAGUGAAACCUGAAGCAGUGGGAAAGAAGUGGUGAUGUGUAGGAAACCGAGGCAGGUGCUCUACGGUAAAAUCUGUUCAUGUCAACAGACUAUGUGCGAGCACUCUCCAGCGGAGAAAAGUAAGUAACUCCGUCCCCCAGCCACCAAAUUGAGAACCCCCCAAACUCUUAUUGUGAAAAGGGGAAGCUUGACGUUCGUAUUUCACAAUUGUACUUCCCUAUUUUUCAUGUCUGAAGGAGCUUUCACUUUCUUCCGGCUUGUCUGUCCCAAAUAGCCAUCAAAUUUAGCACAAUCACCUGAAAAUCAGAGGAAAAACGGAGCAAACGACAUGCACCGGCCACACCAGUCAGAGAGAGGGCUGAUAACGA